CUGCCUCUGGGUUGCCGUCGUCUCUGAGCAGCAGGGCUAGGAGAGCACCGCGCGCCGCUUCUGCUUCUGCUUCUGCCUCCGCCUCCCCUUCUUCUUCUUCCUCCUCCCCAUGGCCAUCCCUAUCACUAUCCAGGCUGGGAGCCACCAAGCUCAAAGUUACCAUCCCCGCCAUCGCCAAGAACCAGCGCCUGCUUCCUCUUCCUCUUCCUGGGCUCUUGGAUUUCACAAGG
rnacentral:rRNA from 1 species